AUCUGUGCGCUUCAAGACAGCAAGAAAAAAAGUGUUGAUGUUUGCUUAUUUAGACUAAUGAGAUCCCCAUCCUACGAAUUUUAAGAAUGAAUAACAGAAAAUUCACCUUAAAAAGUACCCCCUUGUUCAACCCCUAUCAUAAAAGUCAAUGUUAGAGGCUGGAUGCAUUGCAGAUUAUUGCGAUGCUCCCACUUUGUCAUCUUUGUUCGGUGUUACGUUUAGCACGGGAAAAUAUUUCAUCUCCUAUUAAAUAAAAAUGACAGCACAGACAGUAAAUGCGCCAGAGUCUGCAAUUCGGUACACCUCAGAGGACCGAGACCACAUCGAAGAGGCACUGGCAGAAUGUUGGCGAGGAGAAGAGAUGAAUACUCUGCGUUUCUCCAGACUGUCUAUGCCUGAAGCACUCGUGUAUACAACAGAAUCACAAAAGCACCGAGAAACCAUUUAGUGAGGGUGCUUAGCUCAGCCCCUUCCGGUUCAUCCUCAAUAAGAAUAUCAGCUGCCUAGAAAGAAAUGUCUUUUAUGACCAGACCUACCCACCAGACAAGAGCUCCUGUGAAAGACCCUUAAUUCUGUAGCGGAGAAAUGAAUCUGUUUGUUUAUGUUUUGCCUAAGGGCUGGCAACAUAACGGCAAGAGGCACUUCUUUUGUUGGACUUUUUUUGUUAAUUAAACGAGAUGACCUGGUUGGCAACCCAACUUUUAUAUUUGCGUGCUAUUCCUACACCUGACCAUAACCUAAAUACUUGAAAAGAAAUGAUAAUAUUCAGAAACCUGUGGGGAAAAACGAUUAUAGUGAAGCAUUCUGAAACCCGAUUUAUUCAGUUCUGCAUGGCAUUAGACUAUGAGCCUGUCCUGACCACAUUAUGUAUAAAGGAAAUAAUCAGCCCUGGACAGGAAGACAGUCCACUGUAAGGCCCACUCACAUACACACCCACAUUUACACCCACAAAAGAUGAAUUUAAAAGUGGCAAUUAACCUAACAUGCAUUUUUCCAUGCAGUCAAUCACCAGGUACAGAACUGUAACUUAGGACACUGGAUCCGUGCCCCAUAUUAUGCAUUACAUUUAUGAACUGUUGAAUUCAGCUAUUUUGGUGUUGCCCCAUUGUAAGUUCACUACUCAGAACAGUUCAGUGUUGAACACU